UGCGGAAUGAGGUGCAGAUAAAGCAUG
rnacentral:piRNA from 1 species